CCUAAAUAUCUGCAGAACCUCCUCCUGGUUCCUCCAGCAGGAGCAGAACCUCCUCCUGGUUCCUCCACCAGGAGCAGAACCUCCUCCUGGUUCCUCCAGCAGGAGCCGGUCCUCAGCGUCUCCUUUGGCUCCUGGACCACUUCAACGAUCCGUCCUCCAAGGUUCCUAGGAGGAGCUCCUCCAGAGAGGAUGAGAAGAUGCCAGUGAGACGGGUUCAGGGUCCAGAGCCCACCUCCUCCUCCUGCUCCUCCUCCUGCUCCUCCCCCUGCUCCUUUUAGCCACCAUGAGGAAGCCGUUCCCUGCAAACUCUCCGUGAUCCUCUUGAACCUUUCAGAGCAGAUCCAAGUGCAGUGAAACCACCUCAGAGCUGAGAGGAGUCAGGAGGAAGGAUGGCGGGCGGGAGGCAGGGAACGAGGAGGCAGGGAACGAGGAGCCAGGGAACGAGGACUCUCCCGGGGACCCUCCUGAGGAUCCUGGGACUGUCCUGCUUGUGGAUUACAGCUCAGGCUCAGAUGAAGAUCCCACCGGAGACGGUGCAGCAGUGGGCGACCGUGUUCUCCGUUCAGCUUCGAGACCUCACCACCAAAUACUCGGGCUCCCUGCUGCUGCAGAAGAAACUGCAGGACGUGGAGUCCAUCGUGAGGAUCGUGGAGCUGGACGGAGGCGAGCUGGUGAAGGACUACUCCGACCAGAUCGAGAGAAUGUUGGGGCGCAAAAUGAAGUCGGUGAAGAGGUUGGCGGAGUCGGCAGAGGACGCCGACCUGUACCACGACUACAACGCCACCAUGAAGUUCGACUACUACAACUCCAUGGUGAUCAACUCGGUGGACGAGGACGGGAACAGCCUGGAGCUGGGCGGAGACUUCCCAUUGGAGGAGAACGAGCACUUCAACAAGCUGCUGGUCAACACGCUGCAGAGCGACAUCCAGGUGCCCACCAACGUCUACAACAAAGACCCCAACAUCCUCAACGCCGUCUACAACUCGGAGGCCCUGAACGACGUCUUCAUCGGGAACUUCCAGAAGGAUCCCACGCUCACCUGGCAGUUCUUCGGCAGCUCCACGGGCUUCUUCAGGAUCUACCCCGGUAUCAAAUGGACUCCAGACUCCAACGGGGUGGCAGCCUUCGACUGCAGGAACAGAAACUGGUACAUCCAGGCGGCCACGUCUCCCAAAGACAUCAUCAUCAUGGUGGACAUCAGCGGCAGCAUGAAGGGGCUGAAGAUGACGAUCGCCAAACACACGAUCAACACCAUCCUGGACACGCUGGGGGAAAACGACUUCGUCAACGUGAUCGCUUACACUGACUAUGUUCGGUACGUGGAGCCGUGCUUCAAAGGAACUCUGGUUCAGGCCGACUUGGACAACAGAGAGCACUUUAAGCAGCUGGUGGACGAGCUGCACGUUAAAGGAGAAGCGAAGAUCAAGAACGCCAUGAAGGAGUCCUUCAAGAUCCUCAACGAGGCCAGGGCCAGUGGGCGGGGCAGCAUGUGUAACCAGGCCAUCAUGCUGAUCACAGAUGGAGCGAUGGAGGACUUUGAGUCCGUCUUCGAGGAGUUCAACUGGCCGGAGCGCCGGGUGAGAGUCUUCACCUACCUGAUCGGCAGAGAGAUGACCUUCGCCCAGAACACCAAGUGGAUCGCCUGCAACAACAAAGGGUUCUACACACACAUCUCCACCCUGGCUGACGUGCAGGAGAACGUGAUGGAGUACCUCCACGUGCUCAGCCGGCCGAUGGUCAUCAACCACGACCACGACAUCAUCUGGACGGAGGCCUACAUGGACACCGUGCUCUUCACCACCAAAGCUCAGAGUCUGCUGCUCAUGACCUCGGUGGCGAUGCCGGUCUUCAGCAAGAAGAAGGAAACGCUGUCCCACGGCAUCCUGCUGGGGGUGGUGGGCACUGACAUCCCGCUGAUGGAGGUGAUGAAGCUGGCGCCCAGAUACAUGCUGGGAGCUCAUGGCUACGCCUUCCUCAUCACCAACAACGGAUACAUCCUGGCUCACCCCGACCUCCGACCUCUGUACAAAGAUGGAAAGAAGCUGAAGCCGAAGCCGAACUACAACAGUGUUGAUCUGUCUGAGGUGGAGUGGGAGGACACGCAGGAGAAGCUCAGGACCUCCAUGGUGAGAGGAGAGACCGGCUUCAUCCGGCAGAGCAUCAGAGCUUCAGUGGACAAGAAGAAGCGACCUCUGUUCCUCGUCAACGAUUAUUUUUACACGAACAUCGACGAGACUCCUUUCAGCUUCGGCAUGGUGCUGACCAGAGGGCACGGACGCCUCAUGUUCAUCGGAAACGUGUCCGUGGAGGAAGGUUUGCACGACCUCACCUCCCCCGACCUCAGCAUCGCCACCGAGUGGACGUACUGUGAGACCAACAUCGACCCGAGUCACCGUAGAUACUCUCAGCUUCAGGCCGCCAUCCGCUACCUGCUGGGCCUGGAGCCCGACCUGGAGUGUGACGAGGUGCUGUUGCAGCAGACGCUGUUCGAUGCCGCGGUGACGGCGCCGCUGGAAGCCUACUGGAACGCCCUGAUGCUCAACGACAGGGUGGAGCCCGGCUUGGAGACGGCGUUCCUCGGGACUCGUGCCGGCCUGACGAGGAUCAUGAGAUACGCAGGAGUGGAGACCAGAGUGGCAAAACGGUUCCUGACGGCGGUGGACAAGGAGAACCUGUUCACCGUGGACCACUUCCCUCUGUGGUACCGGCUGGCCGUGGAGAACACGCCGGGCAGCUUCUACUACUACCCCGUCAACGACAAAGGAGUGAAGUACGUGAUCGCGGCGACGGCGGUGACUGUUUCCUCCGAGGGGAAGAUGGCGAUGGCCGGCGCUAUCGGGCUGCAGAUGUCCUUGGAUUUUCUGGAGAAGUUGUUCUGGGCCGUCGCCAAGCAGCCCAGCGACACAGACUGCUCAGCCAUCGAAGGCGUGUGUCCUCUCAGCUGCGAGAGCGCUGAUCUGAACUGUUUCCUGGUCGACAACAACGGCUUCGUGGUGCUUUCAAAGGAGAGGAGCGAGGUCGGUCGUUUCUUCGGUGAAGUCGACGGUUCUGUGAUGGCGUCGCUCAUCAAGAUGGGAAUGUUCAAAAAGGUGUCUCUGUUUGACUACCAGGCCAUGUGUAAGAACAUCCAUCAUCACGCCAGCAGUGGGCGUCGCCUCCUCAGCCCGUUGUCCAGCCUGGCUGCGUUGACCAGGUGGAUCUUCUCCAACGCUCUGACGUUCCUGCUGGACUUCAGCCUCUGGGGCCUCUGGCACCCCGACUACUACGUGGACGCCAAAGCUGGCUAUCACGCCAGUCACAAGCAGAAGAAGGUGGAUGUCCUCCAGCCGUGUGACACUCAGUAUCCUGGCUUCAUGUACGACUCUUCAGUCAGAGAAGCCAACAACCUCAUCAAGUGUGGACGCUGCCAGAAGAUGUUCGUGGUGCAGCAGGUGCCGGACAGUAACCUGCUGAUGGUCGUGUCUCAGGCCGACUGCGACUGCUCCCGCCAGUACGAAUCCAUCCUGCUGGACGCCAAGGAGAUCAAGUAUAUCCUUCUGGGGGCGGAGCUAAGAGCUGUCACUCAAACGGGGAUCAGCAGCAGCAGCAGCGCCCCCUGCUGGAGGCUGUGGGCAUCACUCUGUUACUGCACACUGAGGCUACUACUGUCAUGUGUUCAGGACCAGAAGUUAAGGAAGUAAGGAGAGGAGUUAAGGAGGCAAGUAGAUGAGGAGUUAAGGAGGCAAGGAGUUAAGGAGGCGAGAAGUUGAGGAAAUGGAGAUAAGGGGACGAGGAGUUAAGGAUAGGAGAAGUUAAGGAGACGAAGAGUUAAAGAAGCAAGGAGACGAGGAGUUAAGGAGGCGAGGAGUUAAGGAUAGGAGAAGUUAAGGAGACGAAGAGUUAAAGAAGCAAGGAGACGAGGAGUUAAGGAGGAAAGAAGAUGAAGAGUUAAGGAGGCGAGGAGUUGAGGAGGCGAGGCGUGUUUUCCUUGACGCCAGUGAACAUAACGCCACGGUGAAGUGUAACCGCAUGAAGUCCCAGAAGGUGCGGCGGCGCCCGGAGUCGUGCCACGCCUACCACCCCAAGGAAGAUGCGAAGGAGUGCGGGGGGGCGGCGGCCAUCUUCCCGUCGCUCUGCGUCUCCGCCUCCUCGCUGCUCGCCUCGCUGCUGCUCUGCCAUUGGAUGUAAAAGAAAAGGGACCAAUCAGGACGCUCCGAGGGGGAGGACAAGGAUUUAUGAAAAGAGUCUAGAAAAUUAAAUGUCGAGCCGAAAAAAGAUUCUUUCUUUCAGACGGCGACGGAAAAAAAUAAAGUGUUUGAUACAAAUGUACAAAGAACUUUUACAAUUUAAAACGUAAUUUAAAUAAGGCUUCAGCUUUAAAGCGUUACGGUUUUCAUUAAGAUAAAUGUCUGUCGCGGCCAUUAAAGGGUUAAAAUAUUUAUAUAAUUAAAGUUUUUACACAAACUAUUCACGAGAUUCUGAAGGAACCAAAGUUUCUCUUCGUGCGUCUGGAUGCUAACGAGGACCCGUUAGCGUCUGGAUGCUAACGAGGACCCGUUAGCGUGUGGAUGCUAACGGGGCCCCGUUAGCGUCAUCAGAUCUGAACCGGACGUUCCUGGCGAUGAAACAGAAAUUAUUUAUUUUUCAAAAAGGAAAAUCAUGAAUUUGUUUUGGGAAUCGAUCAAAAUAAAGUAAAAUAGAGUAACGUUUAGUUUUUAGAGAUCUAAUUGACUUAUAAACCUUCCAAAUUAUUAUUAGAACUCUUCUCGCUGGUUUCUCGUUUCUCUUCGUGAUCUGUUGGAAUAAAUGUGAAUAAUUCACCAACGUCUGAAUCCUCUGGAGGGAAACGCUUCACUUUCAUUCUCAUUAGUGAUUAACUUGACGAGACACGCGAGCUUUAGAGAAGACUUUGACAAGCUAACAUGGCUAACUACUAACAUGGCUAACGGUUAACGUGACUACUAACAUGGCUAACGGUUAAUGUGACUACUAACGAGGCUAACACUUAACUGUUAACGUGGCUGACUACCAACAGGGCUAACUUCUAACGUGACUGACUACAAACGUGACAAAUUGCUAACGUGGCUAUUGUGAUAACUACUAAUGUGGCUAACUGCCAAAGUGGCUAACUACUACGGCUAACGUGACUGACUACUAAUGUGGCUAACUGCUAACUGUUUCCUGGAUCUCUUCAGAGUAAAAGGUGAUAUUUCUGGCUUAUUGUGCAGCUCUUACAUUUUAAACUGUUUUCUUUUAACUGUUGAUAUAAAGUGUUUAUAGUUGGUUUGCUUAUUUAAUAAUUUCUAUUGUUUGUUUCCUGAUUUUAAUCAUUUCAAUUAAGGUUUUUUAAGCGAUAAAUAAACAAUCAUGUGACAUUAA